rnacentral:rRNA from 1 species
AGCGAACGUUGGCGGCGCGCCUAACACAUGCAAGUCGAACGCGAAAAGCCUUCGGGCUGAGUAGAGUGGCGCACGGGUGAGUAACACGUGAGUAAUCUACCCUAAGGAUCGGGAUAACAUUCCGAAAGGAGUGCUAAUACCGGAUAAGACCACAGCCUCUGCGGGGGGCAGCGGGGAAAAUGAUGGGGGAUCUGAAAGGACCUAUCACCAUAGGAUGAGCUCGCGGCCUACAGCUAGUUGGUGAGGUAAUGGCUCACCAAGGCUAAGACGGGUAGNUGGUCUGAGAGGAUGAUCAGCCACACUGGGACUGCGACACGGCCCAG